rnacentral:tRNA from 1 species
AGCCCCGGAGGAUCUAUCCUCUCUCUAAGAUUUGCAAUCUUAUGUGCUUAUUACACCACCGGACC